rnacentral:lncRNA from 1 species
GGGAGAAACAGAUUUAUUUCAUUAAGAGAGAAAGAGAAGAGUAUAUUCCAAUUAGCCAGCUGCAGUUUUGUUUACACAAAUACCUUGUUCUUCCCUUAAAGGAACUUAGAGCACUUACUGAACACACAGGAAACCGCCUGGUUAUUUUCACAAAAAUGCACAUAAGACAGAAAGCAAGUGUCAGUUCCGUGCAGUAUGCGAAUGACUAAUGUGACUGGAGCCACGAUACAGGCAGAAAGAGACUGGAGGAAAAGACAAUAAUCAAGAGUAUUACAUCAGCAUAUAACUUGCAAGCUGGGUAAUUGAAGCGCACAAUACAGACAUUCUAGUGAUCUUCGUCUGCAAAUUAUUGUCAUUGGUUAGAAAGCACCUAAAGUUUUCUAGGCACUGUACAAAGAUUUACAAAGAAAACAGCCCCUGCCUGCACAGUCACAACACAAUUUGCACAAUACAAAAGGGGGAAAGGGGAUCAGGAAGGAGGGAACUAUUAAUAUUCAGGCACUAAUUAUUCAGAAGUGGAAUGACCAAGUGGAAUGACCAUUGGGGAAGACAGUUUGAGGAGAGGAGGCGCCAAAUGGCAGUGAUCCCAGUCAAGCUGAUUGGGUGGACCAUACCAUCUCAGCAGGUGGAAUGGCUGCUUACAGAAUUUGGAGAAUGCUGUAAGACAGAGAUGGGGAAUUUGCAUGCCAUCUGGUGUUAUUGGACUGUAUCUCUCAUUAUACUUGACCAUUGGCCAUGCUGGCUAGGGUUAAUGGGGGUUGGGGUACAACCACAUUAUGGGGUGGCAGAUCCCCCACAAUCCCGGUUGUGAUGUUCCGCCAAUUACAAUGUGUCGUGUUAAAUGUUUUGAAGAAAUGUACACUAUAAUGUCAGACCUGCUCUGCUUCACCGAGUCUUCUGUGGUCCUGAACUUUGUUCCUAACACUGUAUGUAUAGCCUGAUGCCCCAGAGAAGCUGAUGAGCAGGACAUGAAAGAAGCAGCCCUCCCCGAUUGUUUCCCCCAGCUCUGGUGAACUGUCUUUGAACACAGAUGCUCUGCAUAGCCACUGAGAGACUCGUCAUCCUUGAAUUUGUCUAAUCUUCCCUUUAUAGCCCCUUAGUAUCUUUUGGACAAAGAACGAUGGAAUCAGACCAGCUUUCCCAUUCAAAUCAUCCACUGUGACUCCAGGCACUUCAUCAUUUCUGAUGGAUCUAUUAUAGCUGCAAUCCCAAGACAUAGCAAUGCAAAUCUUUUCCAUUACCUAAUCAUAGCAAAAAAAGUUAAGACAAAAUAUAAUUCUAAAGUAAUUCAUAGAAUCAUAGAAUUUUAGAGUCGGAAAAGCUCCCCGGGGCCAUCUAGUCCAACCCCCUGCAAUGAAGGUAACAUUUCAUCUUUUUGCUCACAUCUACAGUGCAACCAUUUUCUGUGAUCUUCUGUAUGAACCCUCUUGUGCAGUUUUCAUCUUAAUCCUUUACAUUUCCCUUCCCCCUCCUGGCACAUGGGUUUUCUGAUUUGAUGGUGUGUCACUGUAAAAUAUAAAUGUUUUAUGUAAGCUUUAAUUGCGUGCUUUUCAUAUUUCACCAUGUUCUGCCUUUUGAAAGAUUGUAAAUUACUCCCAAACUGGAUGAGGCUAGAGGUCUUAAUCUUUUCUGCUUUUUAAAACUAUUUAAAAAUAGUCUUCAAGGCUAAUCUAAUAGGAACAUAGGAAGCUGCCUUAUCCAGUCAGACCACUGGCCCAUCCUUUCUCAGUAUUGUCUGCAGUAGCCAACCUUGUUUUUUCAGGGUUUCAGACAAGGAUUUCUGACAGAGGCAACGACUGGCCCAAAGUGAGCUUUGUGCCCAAGUAGGGAUUUGAACCCUGGUCUCCCAUAUCUUAGCCUGACAGUCUAACCACUAUACCACACUGGUUCCAAAACUGUGGCUAAUUUUUCACAUCAGCUGACAAUGCAGCACAUGUGUACGUUGUUUCCAAUUCAAAUAAUUCGCUGGCUUGCUAUUUCACUGGGAGCCAGGCUGUUACGAUUGCUCUCCCUCCCUGUGGCUUUUCCUUGUUCCUCAUCAAAGUGCCGACACACCUAUUUAUUGCUCAUAACGUUGAGCCUUCCCAAUUCUGUGCCAUCGAUUUAGUUGCACCAUCUCCUGUACACUCCCACCAAUGUCCACACGUGUCCUUUAUAACUGCUUGGAAACUUGGCGUUUUAUUCUGGACAUAUAUCCAGUCUUGCAAACAUGCCAUGUGGGUUGUGGCAAUCAAAAACAUAGAUAUUAGUCGCUUCCCUGCAGCAAAGUACUUCCUCAAGACCAUUAUUCCAUCUCAGGAUUGAAGGAAAGAGUCACCUCACGGCAAUUCAUCUACUACACUACUGCUGGUUUGAAUUUGCCCCCAUCAUCUGAAUUUUUCAUUCGUCUUUCCUUUCUACCUCCUCCCCACCCUCCAGGUUUCAUGAAAUAGUUUCUUUGGAAUCCUAGAAAAGGACUCUUGAGAGCCAUUUUGCCAUUUCACUGUUUUACUAGGAGGUAUUGUGUUCUGCUCAUCCAUCAUAAUCUUCCUGCUUAGGAAGGUGUCGUGCAGCAUGGCUCAUCUCCUACUCUAUUCCGCUCGUAAAAGAUAGAAGUUUGAACUCUGUAAAUUUGUAUAGCUCAUAAAAAUGAAAGACUGAUAAUGCUGCUUAAGGACAGACAUACUGUGAACAGUCUCCGAACAGGCUUCCUGCCAUAUAUGCUGGAAUUCAUUCUGAAAUGAAUUAUACACUCAAGGCUUUUCAUUUUUUUUUUUUUUGAAUAAAUUUUUAUUAAUUUUCCAAACACAAAAUAAAAAAAAAACAAACAAUACACAAUACACCGACAUACAAACAUAUAAACAUGUAUAAUUUCAUAACCAUUUUUUCAUAAACCUUACUUUCCGGACUUCCCCAUACCUCCCCUUUUCUGCAUCCUUGUUUUAUAUUUCUUCAGCAACUCCUCAGUCGACUAAUUAUUCAAUUCAAUUUCUUUUAAGUUCUUCUAAUAUUGUUAAUUACAGCUGCAAUUCUCUGUUUCCCAACCCCUUGACAUUUUAACAUUCCUGAAUUUUACAACAAGUUCUAAGAUAAACUUUGAAUUUCUUCCAAUCUUCUUCCACUGUCUCUUUCCCCUGGUCACGGAUUCUGCCAGUCAACUCCGCCAGUCCCAUGUAGUCGAUCACCUUCGUCUGCCAUUCUUCCAGUGUGGGUAGUUGUUGUGUCUUCCAAUACUUUGCUAGAAGAAUCCUUGCUGCUGUGGUCGCAUACAUAAAAAACGUCCUGUCCUUCCUUCUCACCAAUUGGCCGACAAUGCCCAGGAGAAAAGCCUCAGGUUUUUUAGGGAAGGUCCAUUUAAGAACCUUCUUAAUUUCAUUAUAGAUCAUUUCCCAAAAAGCUUUUAUCCUCGGGCAGGUCCACCAAAGGUGAUAAAAGUACCUUCAGUCUCAUUACAUUUCCAACAUUUGUUAUUGGGCAGAUGAUAAAUUUUUGCAAGCUUGACUGGGGUCAUGUACCACCUAUACAUCAUUUUCAUAAUGUUUUCUCUUAAGGCAUUACAUGCCGUAAAUUUAGUACCGGUGGUCCACAGCUGUUCCCAGUCAGCAAACAUAAUGUUAUGACCAAUAUCUUGUGCCCAUUUUAUCAUAGCUGAUUUCACCGUUUCAUCCUGUGUGUUCCAUUUCAACAGCAGAUUAUACAUUCUCGACAGAUUCUUAGUAUUGGGUUCUAACAGUUCUGUUUCUAAUUUUGACCUCUCCAUCUGGAAACCUAUUUUCCUGUCCUGUUUAAAUGUCUCGUUUAUCUGAAGGUAGUGCAACCAAUCUCGCACUUUGGACUUUAAUUUCUCAUAACUCUGUAAUUUAACUUUUUCCCCAUCUUGUUCUAAAAUUUCACAAUAUUUUGGCCAUUUAGACUCCAUAUUAAGUUUUUUCACCUCUUUAGCUUCCAUUGGUGACAACCACCUGGGAGUUUUACUUUCCAAUAAAUCUUUAUACCGCAUCCAAACAUUAUAUAAUGCUUUCCUAACAAUAUGGUUUUUGAAACCUUUAUGCAGUUUUACCUUAUCAUACCAUAUAUAUGCAUGCCAGCCAAAUCUAUUGUCAAACCCUUCUAGAUCCAAAAUGUCUGUAUUCUCAAGAAGUAGCCAAUGUUUCAACCAGCAGAAAGCCGCCGAUUCAUAGUAGAGUCUUAAGUCCGGCAGGGCAAACCCCCUCUAUCUUUUGCAUCAGUUAGAAUCUUAAAUUUUAUUCUGGGCUUUUUGCCCUGCCAGACAAAUUUAGAUAUAUCUUUCUGCCACUUCUUGAAACAGUCCAUCUUGUCCAAAAUCUGCAAUGUCUGGAAUAAAAACAACAUUCUAGGCAAUACAUUCAUCUUGAUAACAGCAAUUCGACCUAACAAAGAGAGUUUCAACCUUGACCAUAUUUCUAGAUCUUUCUUUACCUCUGUCCAACAUUUGUCAUAAUUGUCCUUAAAUAAAUUCACAUUCUUAGAUGUUAAGUUUACCCCCAGAUACUUUACUUUUUCGUUAUCACUAAACCUGUUUCAUUCUGAAACUUCUCUUUUUCAGCCAAUGUUAAAUUUUUGUCCAACACUUUCGUUUUCUGUUUGUUCAGUUUAAAUCCUGCUACUUGACCAAAUAUCUCAAUUAGUUCUAAUACUCUUUUAGUACUAGUAUCUGGCUGUUGCAAGGUCAGUACUAGGUCAUCUGCAAAUGCCCUUAGCUUGUAAUGUCUAGCUCCGACUUGUACUCCUUUAACCAACUGGUCUCCUCUAAUCAUGUUUAACAAAACCUCCAGGACUAAUAUAAAAAGUAAAGGGGAUAUUGGGCACCCCUGUCGUGUACCUUUUUCUAUAGAUAUUUCUUCCGUAACCACAUUGUUUACAAUUAACUUUGCUUUUGUUUAGAAUAUAUUGCACCUAUACCGUUUUCAAACCCUUGACCUACCCCCAUCCCUUGGAGAUUCUUCUUCAUAAAGCUCCAACCAAUAUUAUCAAAGGCUUUCUCCGCGUCCACAAAAAUUAAAACAGCCUUCCUAUUGAUGUCCACUUCUAACAGUUCCAAAAUGUCUAUAAUGUUCCUCACAUUGUCCGACAUAUGUCUCCCUGGAAGAAAGCCAGUUUGGUCCUUAUGAAUCUCCCUACCAACACUCUCUUCAGUCUUUUUGCCAUAAUGUCUGCAAAAAUUUUGUAAUCCACAUUGAGUAAUGAUAUAGGGCGGUAGUUUUUAACCUGGUUCUUUUCAGUCUCAGUUUUCGGUAUAAGUGAAAUAAAGGCUUCUUUCCACGACUCUGGUGCCUUUUUCCCCUCCAAAAUUUCAUUACAUACUUCCUUCAGUGGUUGUACUAACCAUUCCUUCAACGCUUUAUAAUAUCUGGCGGUCAAACCAUCUGGUCCUGGAGAUUUUCCCAAUUGCAUCUUCUGAAUGGCACCCUCUAUUUCUUGUCCUGUUAUUUUCUCAUUCAAAAUCCUUCUGCUUUGCUCUGAAAUUUUUGGUAAUCCAUGUUUCUUAACAAAUUCUUCUAUUUCCUGUUCGUUGACUGGCCCUUGUGCAUAUAAUUUCCUGAAGUAACUUUGAAAACAAUUACUUAUCUCGUUUGGUUUGUGGAUAAUCUUUCCAUCCACUUCUAAACUUGUCACAGUGUUCAGUUUUUGCCUCUUUUUCAAUUGCCAUGACAGAAAUUUCCCACAUUUAUCUGCUGAUUCAAAUGUCUUUUGUCUCAUUUGCUUUAUUUUCCAUUCUAUCUCUUGAUUCAUCAAUUCCAUAUAUUGCACCUGAUAGUGCUUUAUUUCUCUCAGAAUCUCAUGGGACUUUGGUUUAGACCUCAAUUUCUUUUCACCUUCUUUUAUUUUUUCCAGAAUUUUUUCUUUCCUUUCAUUUUGAUUUUUCCUUUUUUUAUGGAGUUCUGUUGUAUUAGGAAACCUCGCAUCACGGCCUUACUUGCGUCCCAGAUUAUUCUUUUUUCCACUUCUGUUCUCAAAUUUAUCUCAAAGUAAUCUUUCAGUGUUUUUUGGGCCUUCUUAUAAAUCUCUUCAUCUCUAAAUAGGGUGUCAUUCAUUCUCCAUCUAAAGGAUCCAGUUUAUACACUCAAGGCUUUUCAAAUACCAAUGGCUUAUUUAACUCCUAGGUAUAUAGCCAACUGUCUCUCUACAUUAGCAACCAAGCUGGAUUUUCUGUCUUCUGAAACCCACUUCAAAUUGCACGCAGCAAUUAUGUGUUUUCUGCAACUGCGCCCCUGUUUCCAACAGGAAACACACACAAGCGGAAAUGCACAAUGGACAGAUAUAAACAGGUUGUUGUUAGGGUCUCCAUUGUGUGUGUUGCUGGUUGCUGGUUGGAAAUCAAACCAAAGUGUUGCACCAACAAGCACAAAAAACCACUCUGCAGCGCCACAAAUCCAACUCAAUGGUGUGAUGUUGGAAAGUGCCAAUCACUUCUCCUACCUGGGCAGUUAUCUUU